UAGCUCAGUGGUAGAGCACAUGCUUAGCAUGCAUAAAGUCCUGGGUUCCAUCCCCAG
rnacentral:tRNA from 1 species